AUCAUUAUUGAAAUAAACCUGAUGGGUUGUNGCUGGCUCUCUAGGGAGCAUGUGCACGCCUUGUCAUCUUUAUAUCUCCACCUGUGCACCUUUUGUAGACCCCUCCCCGGGUCUAUGUUGCUUCAUUUGCCCCAAUGUAUGUCGAUAGAAUGUUUGUCCCAAUGAAAUAUAUACAACUUUCAGCAACGGAUCUCUUGGCUCUCGCAUCGAUGAAGAACGCAGCGAAAUGCGAUAAGUAAUGUGAAUUGCAGAAUUCAGUGAAUCAUCGAAUCUUUGAACGCACCUUGCGCUCCUUGGUAUUCCGAGGAGCAUGCCUGUUUGAGUGUCAUUAAUAUAUAUAUCAAGCCCUCUUUUGUUGAGCGGUUUGGAUGUGGGGGGUUUUUGCUGGCCUCUUAAAAGGUUCAGCUCUCCUGAAAUACAUUAGCGGAACAUCCUGUUUGUUCAUUGGCGUGAUAAACUAUCUACGCUAUUGAAUGUGAGGCAGUUCAGCUUCUUAACGGUCCCUUUGGGGACAAUUCAUCAUUUUAUGUGACCUCAAA
rnacentral:rRNA from 1 species